UGGGAUGAUGAUUUAUUAGACUAGAGUCUCUGAUGAAAUAGUGAAGUUGUUUUCACAGUGCACUGACCA